rnacentral:piRNA from 1 species
GAGCUAAUGUGUGCCGCUCUCAUGGA